UUUUUUUAAGAAAAACCAUUUAAAGUGUGAGUUGUUUCCUUCUAACAAGCAAACCACUAAAACCACUAUUCAUUCUCUCUGGAAAAUGAACAUACUGUAAAUAAUUUUCUUGACUUUUUAUUUCAGUUAGUUCAAAAUCUCUGCCUCCUCCCUCCUCACCCCUCCUUCAGUUUAUGUUUCCAUUUUCCUCUGAUGUCUUGUUUAUUUUGCUAGAAUUUGAAAGUGUUAUUGAUGUUAUGCUUAUGGGUAUUUCUAGUUUCCUUUAACCUUGGGAUACAAAUUGAUUUUUCACGGGCUAAUUCAUCUUCAAGAUUCCUUGGCUUGAAUUUGGCCCAUUCAUUGAUCUAAAAUGGUUGCGAAGCCAUGGAGCAGAACGAGGCAGAUCCUAACCUACGUGGUGAGAGCAAAUCAGCUUUUUCCACUGUUCUCUCUGUGCUCCUGAGCGGGUCAAGGAGGGAACGUGCAGGAUGACCCAGAGGUGAUCCCAGCUCCCUGGCUCCAGCACCGUCCACACACAAAGCAGCACGCAGCACACAGAACUCAGUGGCUGGCCAGCCGUGACCUUAGCUGAGGGGGCAACCAGCCCUUCCGACAUCCCGUGUUUACAGCAUCCUUUGAAAAAGACUCUGAAUAAGAUGCAACCUGGGACCAGGAAAUGAAGCUGCACCUAAUCACAUAACUGGCUCAUUUCACGGCUUGGGAACACGGAUCCCACCUCUCCCGCAGGGGGAGGAAUGUUUGUGGAACACGGACUGAAGCCACUGGUGAAAUUAGUGUCUGUUGUUUUGGGAACUUGGACAAUUUUGUCCUGAAUCUGAGGCUUUAGGGGGCUUGAAAGGCCACCUCGAGGAUGUCCGGCUGUGCCAGCCCCUCCCUGGGACUUCAGUAAGGUGCACGGGAGACAUGAAGCAGUCCGACGCUGCCUGACUUAAAGUCGGUAACGGAAAACAGGUCAGUUAUGCAACCCUGCCCCUGGCGUUCAUUAUGCUGAUAGUAUAGGAGCUGAGAACACUGCGAGUUCAUUCUCAAAAUUCACCGUGGGGCUUCCUGAGCUGCCGCACCUACCACUGUGCAGCCACCGACACAGCACUAAUGUGGCCACCAAUAACGAAGCAGCCAGGCCCUGGCCAUUGAAACCAGGUCCGUUGAGACACCCUAGGGCAGUGGUUCUCAACCUUCCUAAUGCCGCGACCCUUUAAUACAGUUCCUCACGUUGUGGUGACCCCCAAUUUCAUUGUUACAAAUUGA